UGGGGAAUAUUGCACAGUGGGCGCAAGCCUGAUGCAGCAACGCCGCGUGAGGGACGACGGCCUUCGGGUUGUAAACCUCUUUUGGCAGGGAAGAAGCGAAAGUGACGGUACCUGCAGAAAAAGCACCGGCUAACUACGUGCCAGCAGCCGCGGUGAUACGUAGGGUGCAAGCGUUGUCCGGAAUUAUUGGGCGUAAAGAGCUCGUAGGCGGUUUGUCGCGUCUGCUGUGAAAACCCGAGGCUCAACCUCGGGCCUGCAGUGGGUACGGGCAAACUAGAGUGCGGUAGGGGAGAUUGGAAUUCCUGGUGUAGCGGUGGAAUGCGCAGAUAUCAGGAGGAACACCGAUGGCGAAGGCAGAUCUCUGGGCCGUAACUGACGCUGAGGAGCGAAAGCAUGGGGAGCGAACA
rnacentral:rRNA from 1 species